UGUUUCCAGCCCGGAGGAUGGGGAUGGUGCCCCGGUGUUCGGGCUGGGCUUGCACAAACACCCGUGCUGGGAGCGGUGUGGGCUGCCGCUAUUAUUCUAACAAUCAGCCCCAAGCUGUUACAAAGGGCUCUGAAGAAGUUCUGCCUGGUUUUGUUGUUUUUAGGGGUUUUUUUUUGAGCUGCGAGGGCCAGACCCGAGCAGGUGGAGACCUGCUCUGCUCGGAGCACCGUGCCUGGUUCAGAAACCCGGGGUAGCUACACCCUGCGAGCCCAGCACGUUCAUCCCACCCUGUCUGCACUGCACAGCCCCACCGACCUGCCCAGCUCCGCACACCCAGGCUGGGGGCACAGCCAGCAACAGCAAGCCCUGAACCCACCUCCCACCAAGCAAUAACCCUGCAGAGACCUGAAAAGGGAGGAGCUGCACAUCCCGGGUCCUAAACAUCCUCCGGCACCAGGAGAGGGAGGAAGAUGAGCGAUGCUUUGGGCGUGCAGGACCGGGAUGGAGCACUCCAGGAACCCUCAAGGCUUGCAGGAGAUGCCCGGAGAGCUGCUGUGCCUCUUCCCGACACCAACCUGCUGGUGUCCCCAUGCUGAUCGUGUUUUUGCCACGGACAUUGGGGUGCUCUGGCACUCGGGAGAGCAUUGGGAUUCAUUUUUCCAGCUUCCCUUUUUUUGUCGGAUUUCAGAUCUGCAUAUGCAAACUCAGCCUGGUGAUCAGCUCUGCAGGGAGGAACCUGAAGGCUGAUGAUGAUGGAGAGGCACCAAGGGAGAUGGAAGAGCUCUUGCCUGAGUGUUAAAACUGUCUGACAGAGAUCUACAGCUGCCUGGGAGCUCUUAACAGGAAUCACAGAAUCCCAGGGAUGGGUGAGGUUGGAAUGCAUCACACUGGGGUCACCUGGACCAGCUUCUCUGCUCCAGCAGGGCCAUCCCAGAGCUCAGGGUUGUGUCCAGAUCAUUCUGGAAUAUCCCACUGAGGAGACUCCAGACCCUCUCUGGUCUCUGCUCAGUGCUUGAUCCCACACAGGGAAGUUCUUCCUCAUGUCCAGGUGGGCUCAGUUUGUGGGAUCAGUCCCUGCCCAUUCCUGUAAUCCUGUUGCUGGACAGGAUAACAAUUAAUAGCAAUAUCCUAUUUCUCUACAGAGUAGAGCCUGGUCAGCAAACACAGUGAAAUUCAACAUUUUCAGCAACUUUUCAUCCAAAUCAAAAUUGAGUCUGUGCCCACAA